rnacentral:rRNA from 1 species
ACUUCAGCGUGGGGAUUAGUAGGCGAACGGGUGAGUAACACGUGGGCAAUCUGCCCUGCACUCUGGGACAAGCCCUGGAAACGGGGUCUAAUACCGGAUACUGAUCCGUCUGGGCAUCCAGACGGUUCGAAAGCUCCGGCGGUGCAGGAUGAGCCCGCGGCCUAUCAGCUUGUUGGUGAGGUAGUGGCUCACCAAGGCGACGACGGGUAGCCGGCCUGAGAGGGCGACCGGCCACACUGGGACUGAGACACGGCCCAGACUCCUACGGGAGGCAGCAGUGGGGAAUAUUGCACAAUGGGCGAAAGCCUGAUGCAGCGACGCCGCGUGAGGGAUGACGGCCUUCGGGUUGUAAACCUCUUUCAGCAGGGAAGAAGCGAAAGUGACGGUACCUGCAGAAGAAGCGCCGGCUAACUACGUGCCAGCAGCCGCGGUAAUACGUAGGGCGCGAGCGUUGUCCGGAAUUAUUGGGCGUAAAGAGCUCGUAGGCGGCUUGUCACGUCGGUUGUGAAAGCCCGGGGCUUAACCCCGGGUCUGCAGUCGAUACGGGCAGGCUAGAGUUCGGUAGGGGAGAUCGGAAUUCCUGGUGUAGCGGUGAAAUGCGCAGAUAUCAGGAGGAACACCGGUGGCGAAGGCGGAUCUCUGGGCCGAUACUGACGCUGAGGAGCGAAAGCGUGGGGAGCGAACAGGAUUAGAUACCCUGGUAGUCCACGCCGUAAACGGUGGGCACUAGGUGUGGGCAACAUUCCACGUUGUCCGUGCCGCAGCUAACGCAUUAAGUGCCCCGCCUGGGGAGUACGGCCGCAAGGCUAAAACUCAAAGGAAUUGACGGGGGCCCGCACAAGCGGCGGAGCAUGUGGCUUAAUUCGACGCAACGCGAAGAACCUUACCAAGGCUUGACAUACACCGGAAACGUCCAGAGAUGGGCGCCCCCUUGUGGUCGGUGUACAGGUGGUGCAUGGCGUCGUCAGCUCGUGUCGUGAGAUGUUGGGUUAAGUCCCGCAACGAGCGCAACCCUUGUCCCGUGUUGCCAGCAGGCCCUUGUGGUGCUGGGGACUCACGGGAGACCGCCGGGGUCAACUCGGAGGAAGGUGGGGACGACGUCAAGUCAUCAUGCCCCUUAUGUCUUGGGCUGCACACGUGCUACAAUGGCCGGUACAAUGAGCUGCGAUACCGCGAGGUGGAGCGAAUCUCAAAAAGCCGGUCUCAGUUCGGAUUGGGGUCUGCAACUCGACCCCAUGAAGUCGGAGUCGCUAGUAAUCGCAGAUCAGCAUUGCUGCGGUGAAUACGUUCCCGGUCU